UCAGCAGUCCAAGAAUAUUAGUCAAUGCUCGAAAGAGUGAACUAGCUAACUGAAAUCAAUAAUAAUAAUUGAUAACAUAAGGGAAAAUAAUGAUAUUACCUUAUUAUUAGUGUCGUCCAAAUCUGGUGCCAGAAGACUCGGUAAGGCCAGAGACACAAACGUUAAUCGUCUUAAUCAGGCGUAAAGGGUUUGUAGGCAGCUUUAAAAUUUACUUAUAAAAAAAUAAAUAAUAAGUAAAAAAUAAAAGCUAGAAUCAAAUAGAGGAUAUAUGAAAGAAUGUUUAGAGUAGGUCUGAUAUCCUUAGAUACUAAGUAGAAUAUUAAAGGCGAAAGCUUUUUUCCAUUAAUGAUUGACGCUCAGAAACGAAGGUGAGGAUAGGAAAUAGGAUUAGAUACCCAGAAUACCCCUCUCUGUCAACGAUGAAUGGUAGUUAUUAGUAAAAAAUAUUAAUGGCAAUGUUAACACGAUAACCAUUCCGCCUUGUGAGUAUAACUGCAAAGUCGAAAACAAAAAAAUUAGUCGGUUUCGGAGCAAACGAAGUGAAGCAUGUUAUUUAAUUCAAUAAUCCGCAA
rnacentral:rRNA from 1 species